rnacentral:lncRNA from 1 species
UGCUCCAUGUUAUCAUUUAUCAAUCCAAAUAAGAACCAUUUAAAAUUGGCAAUACUAGACAGUCGACAAUUCAUAAUAACCUUAACUGUCCUUCACAAAGUUUAAUUGUUUAAAAUUAACAAUACAGCAGCAAAUUAACUGUCCUUCACAAAGUUUAUGACUUCACAAAGUCUAAUUAUAAUCUAGUAACAGCUAACAUGCAACAGCAACUAGCAGCAACAUGAACAUGAGCAGCAAAUUGCAGGCUUUUCAGCAGCCAACAGUGCAAUAACAACACGAACAAGCACAAUUAAAUAUCAUUGUAACAGCAACAUGAACAGCAACAGCAACAUGCAACACAAGCAAGCAAGAGAAAUCCCCGCAACUGCAUAAAUAAAUCAUUUAUCCAUUGAGUCAAUGUAUGUAUCAUCUUAGAUAUCCCAGUAAGUUCACAAAGCCAAAAGUUAUAAAAAGCUUAGCUCAAAGUAAUGUACAAAGCCAAAAGGAAUCUGAGGCCAGUUAUAAUGAGAUCUUAUGUUGCAGUUCAUCACAAUCUAAGACCAUUUCUAAGAUUCUUCUGUGUAUUAAAUUGUACAAAUUCUUGCAAGUGUAGUUCCAAAUUUGUCUCUUUAAUUCCACAUUAGGGGGAAGCUAAGACUUUUCUGAACAUCUAUGGAAAUAGAACCAAACACCCCAAAUUGAUUUACUGAAAUCUUAAUAUCAAAAACUAGAAUAUCACACAAGUAAGCAUUUAUAUAAGGCUAAUUAUUAAAAUAUCCCAUAGCAGAACAGUUGGGUAGUUGGGCUAUCUUGAUAAACAAAUUCACAUAUUGACAAAGGAAAACCUCAAUUCAAGGAAUCAAGGUUAUAGUUUCAGGUGAUAGAUGUUAUCAUGUUACCACCAUCCAAAUUGAUUUUCAGGAAGAAAACACAAAUAUAUUAGGCUUUUAACUUCAUAUGUCCACAAACAGUAGAAAACUUGAAAAAAUUAGUCUUAGUCUAACAAUUAAACAUGUAAUCAAAAUCAACAUAAAUAUAUUAGUACUAAAUCGAAGCUAGAGACAAAAAAACAGAGGUUAAAACUUUUAGUACCAAAUAGUUUGCAAGAGAACUGCCGAAUACCCACCGAGACGCGGAGCUGCGAUUUGCGAAGGCCGAACGAAGGGUGAGAUCGUGAGAGACUGAGAGGCGGAGACUAAGACGGAGAGAGGCGGAGAGGAUGUGAUGUGCGAUACUGAGAUAGAGUCGGAGAGAGGUGAAAGCGAAACUGAGAGAGUCGAGACUGAGAGGAGAGGAAUUGGGAAUGGAAAUUAGGGACUAGGGCAAAAUGUGAAUACACAGUACAGAUAAACA